rnacentral:piRNA from 1 species
UGGCAAUAGGAUAUGUGAGACCCAGUGU